AUUUGAUGCUGUGGGCAUCUAGUGCACAACUUAUUGAACCUCUCCCAAUAGUUGUAUAAGGAUUCUCCUAGAUAUUGCUUAAUGCUGCACAUCUCUUUUCUCAGACU